GACGAACCGUCCGAACGUUAUUCGGAAUCACUGGGCUUAAAGGGUGCGUAGGCGGCGCGGAAAGUUGGGUGUGAAAUCCCUCGGCUCAACCGAGGAACUGCGCCCAAAACUACCGUGCUCGAGGGAGAUAGAGGUGAGCGGAACUUAGGGUGGAGCGGUGAAAUGCGUUGAUAUCCUAAGGAACACCGGUGGCGAAAGCGGCGUACUGGGUCUUAUCUGACGCUGAGGCACGAAGGCCAGGGGAGCAAACGGG
rnacentral:rRNA from 1 species